rnacentral:rRNA from 1 species
AGCGAACGCUGGCGGCAGGCCUAACACAUGCAAGUCGAACGAACCUUUCGGGGUUAGUGGCGGACGGGUGAGUAACACGUGGGAACGUGCCUUUAGGUUCGGAAUAACUCAGGGAAACUUGUGCUAAUACCGAAUGUGCCCUUCGGGGGAAAGAUUAAUCGCCUUUAGAGCGGCCCGCGUCUGAUUAGCUAGUUGGUUGAGGUAAUGGCUCACCAAGGCGACGAUCAGUAGCUGGUCUGAGAGGAUGAUCAGCCACAUUGGGACUGAGACACGGCCCACACUCCUACGGGAGGCAGCAGUGGGGAAUCUUGCGCACUGGGCGAAAGCCUGACGCAGCCAUGCCGCGUGAAUGAUGAAGGUCUUAGGAUUGUAAAAUUCUUUCACCGGGGACGAUAAUGACGGUACCCGGAGAAGAAGCCCCGGCUAACUUCGUG